rnacentral:pre_miRNA from 1 species
GCGGGUUGUUUACCUUGUGAGGCCAGCUCUGGAGCCCUGGAUUCAGCUCCCGCAGUAACUUUGGAGCUCUCCUGCAGGGGCCUGGAGGCUCCGGGGGCGGG